GAUGAACGCUGGCGGCGUGCCUAAUACAUGCAAGUCGAGCGAACGGACGAGAAGCUUGCUUCUCUGAUGUUAGCGGCGGACGGGUGAGUAACACGUGGAUAACCUACCUAUAAGACUGGGAUAACUUCGGGAAACCGGAGCUCAUACCGGAUAAUAUUUUGAACCGCAUGGUUCAACAGUGAAAGACGGUCUUGCUGUCACUUAUAGAUGGAUCCGCGCUGCAUUAGCUAGUUGGUAAGGUAACGGCUUACCAAGGCAACGAUGCAUAGCCGACCUGAGAGGGCGAUCGGCCACACUGGAACUGAGACACGGUCCAGACUCCUACGGGAGGCAGCAGUAGGGAAUCUUGCGCAAAGGGCGAAAGCCUGACGCAGCAACGCCGCGUGCGUGAUGAAGGUCUUCGGAUCGUAAAACUCUGUUAUUAGGGAAGAAAAUAUGUGUAAGUAAAUGUGCAGAUCUUGACGGUACCGAAUGAGAAAGCAACGGCUAACUACGUG
rnacentral:rRNA from 1 species